rnacentral:rRNA from 1 species
AUGAACGCUGGCGGCGUGCCUAAUACAUGCAAGUCGAGCGAACAGAUGAGGAGCUUGCUCCUCUGACGUUAGCGGCGGACGGGUGAGUAACACGUGGAUAACCUACCUAUAAGACUGGGAUAACUUCGGGAAACCGGAGCUAAUACCGGAUAAUAUAUUGAACCGCAUGGUUCAAUAGUGAAAGACGGUUUUGCUGUCACUUAUAGAUGGAUCCGCGCCGCAUUAGCUAGUUGGUAAGGUAACGGCUUACCAAGGCAACGAUGCGUAGCCGACCUGAGAGGGUGAUCGGCCACACUGGAACUGAGACACGGUCCAGACUCCUACGGGAGGCAGCAGUAGGGAAUCUUCCGCAAUGGGCGAAAGCCUGACGGAGCAACGCCGCGUGAGUGAUGAAGGUCUUCGGAUCGUAAAACUCUGUUAUUAGGGAAGAACAAAUGUGUAAGUAACUAUGCACGUCUGGACGGUACCUAAUCAGAAAGCCACGGCUAACUACGU